ACCCGUGUGGCGUAAGAGGUAACGUAUCUGACUCUGGAUCAGAGGUUUGGGGUUCAAGUCCCUGCGCGGGUGCCA
rnacentral:tRNA from 1 species